AUGUAGACCAGCGAUCCUGAUAAUGUUGUUGGCCUUGGAUGAUGAGGUCCAGUUACCAGGAGCACUAGUCUGCAGCUUACUGGUUCCGUCCUGCAGCUCCUCCACGCUGUCCUCCUCUCUACAGACCAAAUCAAGAAAAGGGAACCAGGAAGCUGCUGUGGAUCCUCUGCAGUAUCUGGAGAGGUCAGAGGAACGGUUCUUGGAACAGAUCGGAAGACACCAAGACGUGACCUCUGCCAUGCUCCAGAACAUCCAGAAGAUGAAUGAAAACCUUGGUUGCACUGAUGGGAUGCAUGGUGUCGGUGCUGGAGCAACUGUCCCAGAAUUAAACUGCAUUGUUGACUAUUGGCUUUUCUAGAAAAUAAAUCUUUUUUAGUACUUC